rnacentral:rRNA from 1 species
AUUGAACGCUGGCGGCAGGCCUAACACAUGCAAGUCGAACGAGUGGCGGACGGGUGAGUAAUGUCUGGGAAACUGCCCGAUGGAGGGGGAUAACUACUGGAAACGGUAGCUAAUACCGCAUACUAUAGGAGGUGCCCAGAUGGGAUUAGCGGGUAGGGGGGGUAACGGCUCACCUAGGCGACGAUCCCUAGCUGGUCUGAGAGGAUGACCAGCCACACUGGAACUGUGACACGGUCCAGACUCCUAGGGGAGGAAGCAGAGGGGAAUAUUGCACAAUGGGCGAAGGCCUGAUGCAGCCAUGCCGCGUGUAGGAAGAAGGCCUUCGGGUUUUAAAGUACUUUCAGCGAGAAGGCGUUACUCGCAGAAGAAGCACCGGCUAACUCCGUGCCAGCAGCCGCGGUAAUAC